UACGUAGGGGGCUAGCGUUGUCCGGAAUCAUUGGGCGUAAAGAGCGUGUAGGCGGUCCGGUAAGUCCGUUGUGAAAGUCAAGGGCUCAACCCUUGAAUGCCGGCGGAUACUGUCGGGCUAGAGUCCGGAAGAGGCGAGUGGAAUUCCAUGUGUAGCGGUGAAAUGCGUAGAGAUGUGGAGGAACACCAAUGGCGAAGGCAGCCUUCUGGGCCAACACUGACGCUCAUGCACGAAAGCGUGGGGAGCAAACAGG
rnacentral:rRNA from 1 species